UACGAAGGGGGCUAGCGUUGCUCGGAAUUACUGGGCGUAAAGGGCGCGUAGGCGGCGUGAUCAGUCAGGCGUGAAAUUCCUGGGCUUAACCUGGGGGCUGCGCUUGAUACGGUCGUGCUAGAGGGCAGAAGAGGGUCGUGGAAUUCCCAGUGUAGAGGUGAAAUUCGUAGAUAUUGGGAAGAACACCGGUGGCGAAGGCGGCGACCUGGUCUGUUACUGACGCUGAGGCGCGAAAGCGUGGGGAGCAAACAGGAUUAGAUACCCUGGUAGUCCACGCUGUAAACGAUGUGCGCUGGAUGUUGGGUGACCUAGUCACUCAGUGUCGUAGCUAACGCGGUAAGCGCACCGCCUGGGGAGUACGGCCGCAAGGUUGAA
rnacentral:rRNA from 1 species